AGUGAACGCUGGCGGCAGGCCUAACACAUGCAAGUCGAACGGCAGCACAGUAAGAGCUUGCUCUUACGGGUGGCGAGUGGCGGACGGGUGAGGAAUACAUCGGAAUCUACUUUUUCGUGGGGGAUAACGCAGGGAAACUUACGCUAAUACCGCAUACGACCUACGGGUGAAAGCAGGGGAUCUUCGGACCUUGCGCGAUUGAAUGAGCCGAUGUCGGAUUAGCUAGUUGGCGGGGUAAAGGCCCACCAAGGCGACGAUCCGUAGCUGGUCUGAGAGGAUGAUCAGCCACACUGGAACUGAGACACGGUCCAGACUCCUACGGGAGGCAGCAGUGGGGAAUAUUGGACAAUGGGCGCAAGCCUGAUCCAGCCAUGCCGCGUGUGUGAAGAAGGCCUUCGGAUUGUAAAGCCCUUUUGUUGGGAAAGAAAAGCAGCAGGUUAAUACCCCGCUGUUCUGACGUUACCCAAAGAAUAAGCACCGGCUAACUUCGUG
rnacentral:rRNA from 1 species